rnacentral:rRNA from 1 species
CCUACGGGAGGCAGCAGUGAGGAAUCUUGGUCAAUGGACGAAAGUCUGAACCAGCCAAGUAGCGUGCAGGAUGACGGCCCUCCGGGUUGUAAACUGCUUUUAGUUGGGAAUAAAAGGGGGCUCGUGAGCCCCGUAUUGUAUGUACCAUCAGAAACAGGACCGGCUAAUUCCGUGCAAGCAGCCGCGGUAAUACGGAAGGUCCGGGCGUUAGCCGGAUUUAUUGGUUUUAAAGGGAGCGUAGGCCGGCUUGUAAGUCCGCUGUGAAAGUCCGGGGCUAAACCGUGGAAUUGCAGUUGAAACUGGAGGCCUUGAGUACACACAGGGAAGCCGGAAUGCAUGGUGGAGCGGUGAAAUGCUAAGAUAUCAUGAAGAACUCCGAUCGCGAAGGCAAGUGUCCGGGGUGCAACUGACGCUGAGGCUCGAAAGUGCGGGUAUCAAACAGGAUUAGAUACCCUUGUAGUC